rnacentral:rRNA from 1 species
UACGGAGGGUGCGAGCGUUAAUCGGAAUUACUGGGCGUAAAGCGUACGUAGGCGGUUUUGUAAGUUGGGUGUGAAAGCCCCGGGCUUAACCUGGGAACUGCAUCCAAAACUGCAAGGCUAGAGUGUGGAAGAGGAAGGUGGAAUUUCCUGUGUAGCGGUGAAAUGCGUAGAUAUAGGAAGGAACAUCAGUGGCGAAGGCGACCUUCUGGUCCAACACUGACGCUGAGGUACGAAGGCUAGGGGAGCGAAAGGG